CGUAGGCGGUUUGCUAAGUCAGAUGUGAAAUCCCCGGGCUUAACCUGGGAACUGCAUUUGAGACUGGCAGGCUAGAAUGUGGUAGAGGUGAGUGGAAUUCCAGGUGUAGCGGUGAAAUGCGUAGAGAUCUGGAGGAACAUCAGUGGCGAAGGCGACUCACUGGGCCAUUAUUGACGCUGAGGUGCGAAAGCGUGGGUAGCAAACA
rnacentral:rRNA from 1 species